rnacentral:rRNA from 1 species
GAUGAACGCUGGCGGCGUGCCUAAUACAUGCAAGUCGAGCGAACGGACGAGAAGCUUGCUUCUCUGAUGUUAGCGGCGGACGGGUGAGUAACACGUGGAUAACCUACCUAUAAGACUGGGAUAACUUCGGGAAACCGGAGCUAAUACCGGAUAAUAUUUUGAACCGCAUGGUUCAAAAGUGAAAGACGGUCUUGCUGUCACGUAUAGAUGGAUCCGCGGUGCAUUAGCUAGUUGGUAAGGUAACGGCUUACCAAGGCAACGAUGCAUAGCCGACCGGAGAGGUGGCUCGCCCACUCUGGCUCUGCGACCCCCUCCACACUCCUGGGGGCGGCCGCUGUAGGAACUCUUCCGCAGUGCGCGAGAGUCUCCCGGAGCCACGCCGCGUGAGUGGUGGAGGUCCUCGGCUCGUAAAACUCUGUUAUUAGAGGAGAACAUGUGUGUAUGUAACUGUGCUCAUCUUGCCGUUACCUAAUCAGAAAGCCCCGGCAACCACCGU